GGACAGUUAAAUGACUUUUAAGCUAAAUUUGAAUUGGUUGAUGGGGAAAAAGAUCACAAUCUAACUAGAUGAAUCAGCAAUGGCCUUUAAAUUCAGGAGGGGAUAUUUAUGUAGUAGGAUGAAUCGCGUGCGAUUAUUAAUGCAAUAUUUCCCCUCUUGUCAGUGAACUACGGCUCUGUGUAGUAAAUGCGCUCCAUCUGAAAGCAGCUGAUGGCCAUUUACUACUAAACAAGGACGAGAUUUACUGACGAGAUGCGCAUUACAAUCACAUGCGAUUAAUUGUGCAGCACUAGUAUGUAGUGUAUUACAGUCUGUUGUGAAUUAAUGAACAGUACUUAUCUGCAGUGUGGAAACUGUUGAACAUGGUGGUUCUUGCACUCUAUGGGAAAGUACGGAUUUGAUUUAAGGAGUGUAUAUAAAAAAAAUGCAGACUAUUACUCCCAUUCCAUUUUCUAAAAUGUAUUAUUCAGAAAUUCUGAAUGCCCACACAAUGUGACAGGGAGACAGGAUUUUUACUCUGUGAAGAGGGUUGCCAAAUCCAGAGUUAUUAAGGUUAAAUGUAAUACAACUCAAACAAUACGCGGGUUAUAUAAUGUUCCAGUUGAAAAGGGAUGAUAUAGUUUUUUUUUGUUUUGUUAUUGAUGUAAUGGUCUUAAACUUAUUGGUAAACACAGUAAAUAUUUGAAACUAAAAAAGUCCCACUGUUUUUUAGGGCCAGAAAUGGAAGCAGGUGGAGUGGGAGCCGUGCAAACUUUGAUAAAAGAAGUGGCCAUUGGAGUGGGUGGCGGAUGGGGACACUUGUUAGUGCUUCGGCAUCUUCUUGGGGACCUGAUACAAUAAGAAGCACUAUUAUUUUCUCUGUGUAACUUGUUUUUCUUUUAUGUUUUAAACAAACCAUUGUUUCCUGGACCCUUUUAUUGCUCCUCCUUUCACUUGCUUUUUUGCUCUUUUUUGGAUAUUAAUACUGAAUACUGUUAAAACUGUUUUGCAACCAAAUUAUUGUCAAUUUAACUGUUUUAAUUGAUGUUAUAUCCUACUGUGAUGUAAUGAUGUUAAGUGCAGUGAGUCUAUUUACUUUACUUUUUUCAAUAAACAUUGAGGAAUUCA